rnacentral:rRNA from 1 species
CCUUGUGCUUUUGGAGCGGCCGAUGCCUGAUUAGCUAGUUGGUGGGGUAAAGGCCUACCAAGGCUUCGAUCAGUAGUUGGUCUGAGAGGACGACCAGCCACACUGGGACUGAGACACGGCCCAGACUCCUACGGGAGGCAGCAGUGGGGAAUUUUGGACAAUGGGGGCAACCCUGAUCCAGCCAUGCCGCGUGAGUGAAGAAGGCCUUCGGGUUGUAAAGCUCUUUCAGUCGGGAAGAAAAGGUUACGGUUAAUAACCGUAACUCAUGACGGUACCGACAGAAGAAGCACCGGCUAACUACGUGCCAGCAGCCGCGGUAAUACGUAGGGUGCGAGCGUUAAUCGGAAUUACUGGGCGUAAAGGGUGCGCAGGAGGUUUUGUAAGUCAGAUGUGAAAUCCCCGGGCUUAACCUGGGAAC